CAAUUGUUUUUUGUUUGAUCGAUUAUGAGUUACUUUUGAUGACAUAUUUCUAAUCUUGUUUUUCUGUGUGAUUUAUUAGGUUUUUUCGAAGGAGAACGAGUAGAGGAGAAACCCUAAAUUUAUCAGCAAGAAGAGAAGAAAUCCUAGCCUCUAUUUUGGAACCAAAGUGAGUUCUUCUUCGGUUUUCUUGGUGAAGUCAAUCUUUCAACUCAGCAAGCAGAAGUUUUAAGGAUCAACAAACUUUAAAAUGGAGGAAAACUAUGGAGCUAAGGUGGGGGGCAUGUGUGGACUGCAGAACAUUGGGAGAACGAAAGACAAAGAAUGACGUAACUCGGUAAUGGAAGGAGCUAUCUUUGCUUCUAUUCCAACAACAUUAUUUUGUAUGGCUUAUAUUGCUUGUUCGUUGCUUACAUGG